CCUGUGAUACGCCAGUGCCUUGCACACAGCUGUCCUUGGGUUAGUCGGCAGGCAUUUGAAGACGUGUCAGCUAACAGAGCAAAACAGACCACAGUAUAAUGAAGUGGCGCUCUUCAAUGAAAUGAUUUGAAUGCCUCAUAUUGGAGAUACAUAGAAGCACUGGAGAAAAUCACCCUCAAGCUUCAAAUAUAGCUGCAAUUGAACAGUUUGUGAAUGACAGUUAAUUCCAGACCAGCAAAUAUUUCUUCCCAAAAGCUUCAUGUGGAUAAAUAAUUUCAGGUAUCUGUGAUUGCUUGGCUUAACCCCAGGAGACAGGAAAGAUUGAG